rnacentral:lncRNA from 1 species
UUAUAGCUGAACAGGAGAUUAAACAACAGAAACUGAGGAAAUUAAAAAAAAAUCAUCAGAUCCUACAAAAGCCUAUUUAUAUUUAACAAAGCUGGAAAAUCUAGAUGAAAUAGACAACUUUUCUGUACCAGUACUAAAUACCUAUGUAAAAUCGGGUUCAGAUAAACCAUCUAAACAGUUCCAUAAGCCCUAAAGUAAUAGAAGCAGCCAUUAAAAGUCUCCCAACCAAAAAAAAAAAAAAAAAAAAAAAAAAAAAAAAAAAAGCCCAGGAACAAAUGCAGAAUUCUGUCAGACCUUCAGAGAAGACCUAACUCCAAUACUCUUCAAACUAGACCACAAAAUAAAAACAGAAGGAACACUACCCAAUUCAUUCUAAGAAGCCACAGUUACACUGUGUAUUAUCCCUUGGAGAUGAAAUGGUUUCUGUCUAAUCGGGAACUUGUCACAAUUUCCUUUCAGAGAGGACUUCAUAAGAGUUCUUUUCCCUACUUCUAUUAUGUUUAAUUUUCAAAACAGAUUUUAAAAACUGGUUGAGUGCAUAUUAGUUUGAGCUUAAAAAGACAUCAUGUAUAUUUAAGAGGCAUUUAACUAUUAUAAAUUGUUUUGAUGACUUAAAGUCAAUACUGAGUUGUUUAUUUUAAAAUAAAUUUUACUAGUUU